rnacentral:lncRNA from 1 species
CAAUAAUGCAUCAAACCCGCUGUCUGCCUGGUGUCACGCUGUGCCUUUUAUCUGCUGCAAAUGGGGCUUUCCUCCGCCCUGCUGCUUCGUGCUGUCUGCCAUGUGGUUUGGAUUACCCUGCGUGGAGUGUGUGAUUUGCUGUUUCCUUCCUUUACAGCCCGGAACGGAGCCUGGAAUCGGGAGAGCCAGUGUCACCCUCCCCUGCAAGUCGGCAAUCCGUGACUUAGAUGGGCUGCAGACAUAUGCUUGGGGACAAGGGACAUACGCGAGUCAGUGCAGAGAUGCCACUUCUGAAUUUAGCUCCGGCGUGGGUUUGCCCACCACCUGCUGACUCAUCCUCGCAGCGGUAGUAGGCAAAGCAUGACGGCAGAUAACAAUCCCACCUCUUCUGCCUGAAGGGAAACGUGAGCCGUCGCGUCUUGGAUCGCUGCAACCAAACAAAAUGCUUUGGCUCACUUGCUGCUUAAAGCCAGAGACUCCCAACGCGGUUUAUGGUGGGGGGAUGGGAGAGGGGAUCCUUAGCUAUUCAUUAGAUGAAACGAGUUUCUUUAGAUGGAGCAGAGUGCAGGUUUUUCCAGCAAGAGGGAUCUUGACUUUCUGGCCUUUGAAGCUUGUAAAUUUGGGCGUGAGCAUUGUGACGAAGGCCCCGGGUGGGCAGGGGGCUGUCGGCACCCGGGCACGAUACAGAAGACGGGGGAAAGUUCAGAAAGCCGAGGGAUGUCACUCCAGCUACGUGCCCACUGCAGGGCUUGUUCUGCCUGCCAGGAAGCCAGCGGGACUGGAAUGGAUUUGGCCGUCGCUUUGCUCUCCGCUUUUUCAAUAACAAACGUGCCUACGUGAAACCAGCAAAAGCCUGGAUUGGCAUUGAGGAAACGUACAUCGGAAAGGUGGCCUGGAGCGGGGAAUACGCGCUGCACUGAUCUUGCCAGUCUGCUCCCGUGUGGUGAUGAUGGGUGGGCACCGGGUGCUGACAGCGAUCGCAUUGGGAGUCACCCUGGCACCACAGCAGAGUGAAAUGACUGAUGGGGAAUUGCUUUGAUUGCAAAAGGCGGUGAAUUGUGAUGACGCUUCAUGGAGGAAGGGCUCGGGGGGACAAAGCUGAUGCGAUCCAGGGGCGGCAGGCACAGGAGGGGGGUGAGCUGAGGAGCUGCCGGAGGUUUUAGGUGCAGUCGGAGGACACUUGGCUCUGACUCGGCCAUCGCUGUCAGAGGUGGGAGCUGCUUGUCUGCAGCCACCGUCCUGUGGCUUCCUGGCAGCAGGGAGACACCAGCCUGGAGCUGGCAGAGAAGCGCUUUGAGGCAGUGUGAAAGCAGCCAGGAGGGCAGGCGAGGCCAGCGCGUGCAUGGCAGCCGUGCAGCCACUGCGGAGGGGGGCUGCUGCAGCGGGGGGGCG